rnacentral:rRNA from 1 species
CAGUCGCCGCGGUAAUACGUAGGUGGCAAGCGUUGUCCGGAAUUAUUGGGCGUAAAGGGCUCGCAGGCGGUUUCUUAAGUCUGAUGUGAAAGCCCCCGGCUCAACCGGGGAGGGUCAUUGGAAACUGGGAAACUUGAGUGCAGAGGAGGAGAGUGGAAUUCCACGUGUAGCGGUGAAAUGCGUAGAGAUGUGGAGGAACACCAGUGGCGAAGGCGACUCUCUGGUCUGUAACUGACGCUGAGGAGAGAAAGCGUGGGGAGCGAACAGGAUUAGAUACCCGGGUAGUCCCUGUCUCUUAUAC